ACCAGGAUCUGCUACAUAAGCAAUUGGGCCCAUGCCCCAAAAACGAUAACACUAUAUCUCCUCGUA
rnacentral:tRNA from 2 species